rnacentral:rRNA from 1 species
AAAAUACGGGAGGCAGCAGUGAGGAAUAUUGGUCAAUGGGCGUAAGCCUGAACCAGCCAAGUAGCGUGCAGGACGACGGCCCUAUGGGUUGUAAACUGCUUUUAUGCAAGAAUAAAUUAGUUCACGUGUGGAUUAUUGCAGGUAUUGCAUGAAUAAGGACCGGCUAAUUCCGUGCCAGCAGCCGCGGUAAUUUUU